UACGUAGGGUGCAAGCGUUGUCCGGAUUUAUUGGGCGUAAAGAGCUCGUAGGCGGUCACUUAAGUCUGAUGUUAAAUAAUGGAGCUCAACUCCAUCACAGCAUUGGAAACUAAGUAACUAGAGUUAGGUAGAGGUCAGAGGAAUUCCUGGUGUAGCGGUGAAAUGCGUAGAUAUCAGGAGGAACACCGGUGGCGAAAGCGUCUGGCUGGGCCUAUACUGACGCUGAGGAACGAAAGCUAGGGGAGCAAAAGGG
rnacentral:rRNA from 1 species